CAGGUCGGCUGGGUGGUCGCGGCGCUCCUCGUGGGCGCUGAGGAAAGUCCGCCCUCCAUAGGGCAGCGGUGCCGGUUAACCGCCGGGCGGGGCAACCCGACAGCAGAGUGCCACAGAGAAGCAUAUUGCCGCGGGGCAGCCUGCGGCGAGGGUGAAACGGUGGUGUAAGAGACCACCGGCGUGGGCAGCAAUGUUCGCGGCCAGGCAAACCUCACCGGGAGCAAGGCAAAGCAGGCGCAUUGGGGCGGCCCGUCCCGCAAAAAGCGCUGGGUAUGCUGCAUGACGGGCGAAGUAAUUCGCUCGCUAGAGAGAUGAUCAUCAGGCCGUCGCGAGACGGUUUACAGAAGGCGGCUUAUACGCUGGCCUGAACG
rfam:Chloroflexi bacterium OLB15 TZ15_CFX003CONTIG000072, whole genome shotgun sequence.